GCCGAAGUAGCUCAGUUGGUAGAGCGGCUGAUUCGUAAUCAGUAGGUCGGAGGUUCGAAUCCUCUCUUCGGCACCA
rnacentral:tRNA from 1 species